rnacentral:rRNA from 1 species
CCUACGGGGGGCAGCAGUGGGGAAUAUUGGGCAAUGGGCGCAAGCCUGACCCAGCAACGCCGCGUGAAUGAAGAAGGCUUUCGGGUUGUAAACUUCUUUUGUCAGGGAAGAGCAGAAGACGGUACCUGACUAAUAAGCCACGGCUAACUACGUGCCAGCAGCAGCGGUAAUACGUAGGUGGCAAGCGUUGUCAGGAUUUACUGGGUUGAAAGGGCGGGUAGCCGGGUUGACAAGUCAGAUGUGAAAUCCUGCGUCUUAACCGUAGAACUGCAUUUGAAACAGUUGAUCUUGAGUACUGGAGAGGAAGACGGAAUUCCUAGUGUAGCGGUGAAAUGCGUAGAUAUUAGGAGGAACACCAGUGGCGAAGGCGGUCUGCUGGACAGUAACUGACGGUGAGGCGCGAAAGCGUGGGGAGCAAACAGGAUUAGAUACCCCAGUAGUC